rnacentral:rRNA from 1 species
GACGAACGCUGGCGGCGUGCUUAACACAUGCCAGUCGUACGGUAAGGCCCUUUCGGGGGUACACGAGUGGCGAACGGGUGAGUAACACGUGAGUAACCUGCCCACAACUUUGGGAUAACGCUAGGAAACUGGUGCUAAUACUGGAUAUGUGCUCCUGCUGCAUGGUGGGGGUUGGAAAGCUCCGGCGGUUGUGGAUGGACUCGCGGCCUAUCAGCUUGUUGGUGGGGUAGUGGCCUACCAAGGCGGCGACGGGUAGCCGGCCUGAGAGGGUGACCGGCCACAUUGGGACUAAGAUACGGCCCAGACUCCUACGGGAGGCAGCAGUGGGGAAUAUUGCACAAUGGGCGCAAGCCUGAUGCAGCAACGCCGCGUGCGGGAUGACGGCCUUCGGGUUGUAAACCGCUUUCAGCAGGGACGAAGCUUUUUGUGACGGUACCUGCAGAAGAAGCACCGGCUAACUACGUG